GGUGCAUUUUAGAAGGGAAAGGUGAUCGCGUCUAAUAUUUGUAUGGCGUUGGAGUUGCAAAUAUGAUGUCAAGAAUUUGAAGUUAGAUAUCUAAAAAGCCUAUGAUAUGCUGGAUAGGAGAUUUUUAUUUGACAUCUUGUUUAGGCACUUAUGGAUGUUCAAUCUUCGGAGCUGAUGCAGAUCUAUGAUCAAGUAAGGUCUUUCCCUAUUCCUUCAGUGGUGCAGGCAGACAGAAAGGUUUGGUCGUUAGCUUAAUUUAGUAUUUAUUUGUCUUUGUCAGCUUGGGAGGGGAUUCACAAUAUAUAUUCUCUGUGUACUGCGGACUCACAUUAUUUGGCUCAUGGGUUUAUUUCCUCGUGUUUCAACUUGGUUGGUCCAUGGUUGUCUCCCUACGGAUGAGAAGGUAAUAAAAGGCUCUAUCUAUAUGGCAUCUCACUGUAAUUUGUAGUAACAGUCAAUUGCUUAUAUUUUUUUAGAUUGGCGA